GCGUAGGUGGUGUAGUGGUUAGCAUUGAAGCCUUCCAAGCUUUAGUCCCGGGUUCGAUUCCCGGCCUACGCA